rnacentral:rRNA from 1 species
UACAGAGGAUGCAAGCGUUAUCCGGAAUGAUUGGGCGUAAAGCGUCUGUAGGUGGCUUUUUAAGUCCGCCGUCAAAUUCCAGGGCUCAACUCUGGACAGGCGGUGGAAACUACCAAGCUGGAGUACGGUAGGGGCAGAGGGAAUUUCCGGUGGAGCGGUGAAAUGCGUAGAGAUCGGAAAGAACACCAACGGCGAAAGCGCUCUGCUGGGCCAACACUGACACUGAGGCGCGAAAGCGUGGGGAGCGAACAGG